GACGAACGCUGGCGGCGUGCUUAACACAUGCAAGUCGAACGGAAAGGCCCUGCUUUUGUGGGGUGCUCGAGUGGCGAACGGGUGAGUAACACGUGAGUAACCUGCCCUUGACUUUGGGAUAACUUCAGGAAACUGGGGCUAAUACCCGAUAGGAGCUCCUGCUGCAUGGUGGGGGUUGGAAAGUUUCGGCGGUUGGGGAUGGAAUCGCGGCUUAUCAGCUUGUUGGUGGGGUUGUGGCUGACCAAGGCUUCGACGGGUAGCCGGCCUGGGAGGGUGACCGGCCACAUUGGGACUGAGAUACGGCCCAGACUCCUACGGGAGGCAGCAGUGGGGAAUAUUGCACAAUGGGCGGAAGCCUGAUGCAGCAACGCCGCGUGCGGGAUGACGGCCUUCGGGUUGUAAACCGCUUUCGCCUGUGACGAAGCGUGAGUGACGGUAAUGGGUAAAGAAGCACCGGCUAACUACGUG
rnacentral:rRNA from 1 species